CAGCCGCCGCGGUAAUACGAAGGGUGCAAGCGUUAAUCGGAAUUACUGGGCGUAAAGCGUGCGUAGGCGGUUUGUUAAGUCUGUUGUGAAAUCCCCGGGCUCAACCUGGGAAUGGCAAUGGAUACUGGCUCGCUAGAGUGUGUCAGAGGAUGGUGGAAUUCCCGGUGUAGCGGUGAAAUGCGUAGAGAUCGGGAGGAACAUCAGUGGCGAAGGCGGCCAUCUGGGACAACACUGACGCUGAGGCACGAAAGCGUGGGGAGCAAACAGGAUUAGAUACCCCAGUAGUCCCUGUCUCUUAUAC
rnacentral:rRNA from 1 species